CAGCAAGGGGCUGCAGUUCAUGGUCUAUCCCUCCCUGACAGGGGGGAGGUGUGUUGGAGAUAACAGGGUUUGAAAGAAAGUUGGCUCCCACUACUAUCUUUGUCCACUGGGCAAGGAUAGACACUGCACUGACACAGGGAGUGAGAGACUAGAACCAGAAAUCAACCCCAGGCCUCCUGCACUCCAGCGCAGAGAGUUAUUUCAGCAGGAGCUUGGUGACUUUCAGAGUUCAACUGCAAUAAAAAGCCACCAAUGAUCAGUUUCAUCCUUAUCCCUCAAUGAAAAGGAGGGCACGUAUGGGGCUUGUUUUAAGGAUCCACUGGCCACAGAUGAGGCACUUUGCGUGCUCCCAAGAUGCUAACUCCCACCAGAGACGUGGUUCAAUGAACACAAUCCAAUCUCCAGUGUGGAUGGAGUUUAAUAUCAAGCUUCAAUGGUCUCUGCCCAUGAGUAAUCUUUUAUUCCAAUCCUGUCUCCCCAAGGAUUAAGGAUCCAAUUGGAAAAAGGGCAGUGGUACUCUUCCAUGAAACAGGGUCCACCCACUGGAGAUACAAAGAUGAUGUGUCACUCACAGUAGAUUAUCCAGAUAUUCAAGAUAUGAUCUCUGCUGAGUUCCUUGGGCUUAGUUUCUCCAUAGCAGGCUCAGAUGUCCUGCUGGGCUCUGCAAGGCCCCUUGUGUUUCCCUCCUUUUUGAGAAGGGAAUCAUAAGAGUGGUACUAUCAUCCAAGCACCAGCCACCUUGGUGCCAAAAGGAGUUGUCACUAAAUGCUUUGAUCAUCAGUAAAAGAGUUAACAAUGUUGGCAUUUAAAUUAUCAUUAUUGGGCUUUGAGUUCACACUUCAUUGA